CCACGUUCGACGGAAUCCCAUCCUCUCACACUGUGUACCAUUUGUACAUAUGUACUGUAUAUUAAAAAUAAAACACAUGGACAACACAUCUCUAAUAUACACAUUUAAUUCAUCGGUUCACUUUACAUAUCAUUUCAGCAACUUUUUUUUGAAUUCAUUACAGCCUCCUACGCUAAUACAACUGCUGUUUCUUCAAAAUAAUCAAUGUGAGAGAGAAAGCAGAAAAAUCACAAUAGGCCUACGCAACAGAAAGGAAGAAAUCAAUGAAUUAAUUAGCAGUGAUUGUUGAUGUCUUUGUUUCAUUAUGGAAACCAGGAGAAUUAUCCGCUGCCCAGCGUGCAAUUCUAUUUGCGGCACAUAGCAAAAGGUGUCAUCUCUGAAAUUGAGGAAGGAUAAAACUGCAUAUCAAUGACGUGAAAUGGUUUGGCUUUUUUUCUUUGAAACUCAUCCGAACUGUCGUUUUCAGCAGACGACGAGACAUAAAUACGUACUCUUCACUUGUGUCUGUUCAGAAAGUGGAGUUGUGCCAUCUUUUUUCCCUCAGGAUCUUUUUCUCUCUUGUCGAUGAAAGUGGCCUGAUUGUUAAUUAUGCCCAUGAUAUUAUUAAGUACUCCCCCCCCACCCAUUCACCCCUUCAAUCAGUUUUCACCCUGAAAGUAAUAACACCUUUACCCUGUUGACGUUAAUCAGUUCAUCUGCAGGAUUGUUGGAGCUACAUCUCAUCCCAAAACGGGUUCAAAUAUAAAUAUAGAUCUUUUUUUUUGGACAAACCAUACCGUCAUAUUGCCUACUCGAUACCACUGUCAUCUCACAUACAAUGCUAAUCAACAUCAUAUAAUGCUACUUCAACUGCAAAAUUAUGGAUCCGAUACAUGUAGAUUCAUGCAGUACGCAUCUGGACUUGUCUAAAACUGGUAAUUUCAUUACUCCUUUAAUUACUCAAAUGCAACACUUUGUUAUACAAACGAGAUACAAGUGUAUCCCACAAUAUUUCCUCGAAAAACUCACCCAUAUACAUACAUAUCAGGUAGCUCACACUCAUACACACAAACACACGCACUCGCAGGCGUGCACACACGCCCGAGCGGACACACACACAGUCAAUGUUGUGUGACGACGUGUAACAGUGUGGCAGCCAUUGCCAAGGCAUCUUCAAAACAUAGAGCUUAUAUACAGAGACAACCGAACAAGAAGCAGUAUAAAUUAAGUUAGUGACAUCAUGGUGUUCUCUUGAAAAAACAAGAGAGAUCAACUUUAGUCCACAGGCAAUGUCUAAAAUAUAAAAAAGAUUGCAAAAUAUUUUAAGAAACGUUUAAAAGGUUUAAAGCGACACGUUGCGAGUUCAGACUAAUUCAAUCUGCAGAAAAUUGAAAUGAGACCAGAUCAAAGAACAGAACUACUUUUCUUCAGUAUUUGAAGACCCUCGUCAAACACACACACACACACACAUACACACACACACACACACACACACAGCAACACACCGAGCCAUACCCUCAGCUCUAAAAGCCCACUCUCAGGCCAUGUAGACACGGUGUUCCCUAUAUAAAUACCAUGAGAACACCACGGGAACAGGAAACAUGAACCAUAAUAAUACAUUCACACGCCCACCCACGCACGCAUGCCGUCUCCGCUAUGUUUCACGUGUUGAGCCGACAGCGCCGACCGGAGAAGAUAGGAACUCAGCAAAAUCUCGCUCAGGCUGCUUCUUACAGACCCUGUGCCAUCAACCCCCCCCUGUCCCCCCGUC
ensembl:lncRNA